CUCACUGACGAAGACACGGGGACCAAAGAAAGGAAAGUGCGUCAACCAAAGUGGCAGAGACAGUAGCUAACGCGACCUAUGCACACCAUUUCCCCUUGUCGCCUGCCACCUCUACACCUCUAAUUUUCCUAAACACUUUCCAUGGGACAGGAAUUGCUCGGUAUUGGAAAGCAUAGGAAGGAAGAGGGUGUGGCUGCAGAUGUAUUUAAUGUUGCUUAGUCGCUCUGUAUAGGACACUCAACUUCCCUGAAGCUGGGCUUUCCUGAGGACUUGUGCAUAGAUCAAAUGCUGGCUUCUCUUUUCCCGUAAGUCAGCCUCCGG
rnacentral:lncRNA from 1 species